AGAGCGAACGCUGGCGGCGUGCUUAACACAUGCAAGUCGAACGAGGUCUGUAGCAAUACAGAUACUCGUGGCGAACGGGUGCGUAACACGUGGAUAACCUUCCUUCAGGUGGGGAAUAACCCAGUGAAAAUUGGGCUAAUACCGCAUAACAUGACGAUGCCACAUGGUGUUGUCUUCAAAGGCGCAAGUCGCCAGAAGAGGGAUCCGCGGCCGAUUAGCUAGUUGGCGAGGUAAUGGCUCACCAAGGCAAUGAUCGGUAGCCGGACUGAGAGGUUGGCCGGCCACACUGGAACUGAGACACGGUCCAGACUCCUACGGGAGGCAGCAGUGGGGAAUCUUGCACAAUGGACGAAAGUCUGAUGCAGCAACGCCGCGUGGGGAUGAAGCUUUUCGGAGUGUAAACCCCUUUCGACCCGGAAGAAGCCCGCAAGGGUUGACGGUACGGGUAUAAGAAGCCCCGGCUAACUACGUGCCAGCAGCCGC
rnacentral:rRNA from 1 species